rnacentral:rRNA from 1 species
UACGUAGGGUGCGAGCGUUAAUCGGAAUUACUGGGCGUAAAGCGUGUGUAGGCGGUUUUGUUAGUCGCUGGUUAAAGCUCCCGGCUUAACCGGGAAGAUGCCAGCGAAACGGCAAAACUCGAGGAGGUGAGGGGUGCGUGGAACUCAUGGUGUAGGGGUGAAAUCCGUUGGUAUCAUGGGGAACACCAAAAGCGAAGGCAGCGCACUGGCACCUUACUGACGCUGAGACACGAAAGCGUGGGGAUCAAACGGG